rnacentral:rRNA from 1 species
CCUACGGGUGGCAGCAGUAGGGAAUAUUUCACAAUGGGCGAAACCCUGAUGCAGCGACGCCGCGUGAACGAUGAAGGAUUUCGGUAUGUAAAGCUCUAUCAUCAGGGACGAAAAAAGACGGUACCUGACUAAAAAGCCCCGGCUAACUACGUGCCAGCAGCCGCGUUAAUACGUAGGGGGCAAGUGUUAUCCGGAUUUACUGGGUGUAAAGGGGGCGUAGACGGCAAGGCAAGCGAGAAGUGAAAGGGCAGGGCUCAACCCUGUACAUGCUUGUGGAACUUCGGGGCUAGAGUGCAGUAGAGGUAAGUGGAAUUCCUAGUGUAGGGGUGAAAUGCGUAGAUAUUAGGAGGAACACCAGUGGCGAAGGCGGCUUACUGGACUGUAACUGACGCUGAGGCUCGAAAGCGUGGGGAGCAAACAGGAUUAGAUACCCAAGUAGUC